AGAGUUUGAUCCUGGCUCAGGAUGAACGCUAGCGACAGGCUUAACACAUGCAAGUCGAGGGGCAGCACAGGUAGCAAUACCGGGUGGCGACCGGCGCACGGGUGAGUAACGCGUAUGCAACUUACCUAUCAGAGGGGGAUAACCCGGCGAAAGUCGGACUAAUACCGCAUGAAGCAGGGGCCCCGCAUGGGGAUAUUUGCUAAAGAUUCAUCGCUGAUAGAUAGGCAUGCGUUCCAUUAGGCAGUUGGCGGGGUAACGGCCCACCAAACCGACGAUGGAUAGGGGUUCUGAGAGGAAGGUCCCCCACAUUGGUACUGAGACACGGACCAAACUCCUACGGGAGGCAGCAGUGAGGAAUAUUGGUCAAUGGGCGUAAGCCUGAACCAGCCAAGUCGCGUGAGGGAUGAAGGUUCUAUGGAUCGUAAACCUCUUUUAUAAGGGAAUAAAGUGCGGGACGUGUCCCGUUUUGUAUGUACCUUAUGAAUAAGGAUCGGCUAACUCCGUGCCAGCAGCCGCGGUAAUACGGAGGAUCCGAGCGUUAUCCGGAUUUAUUGGGUUUAAAGGGUGCGUAGGCGGCCUUUUAAGUCAGCGGUGAAAGUCUGUGGCUCAACCAUAGAAUUGCCGUUGAAACUGGGGGGCUUGAGUAUGUUUGAGGCAGGCGGAAUGCGUGGUGUAGCGGUGAAAUGCUUAGAUAUCACGCAGAACCCCGAUUGCGAAGGCAGCCUGCCAAGCCAUGACUGACGCUGAUGCACGAAAGCGUGGGGAUCAAACAGGAUUAGAUACCCUGGUAGUCCACGCAGUAAACGAUGAUCACUAGCUGUUUGCGAUACAGUGUAAGCGGCACAGCGAAAGCGUUAAGUGAUCCACCUGGGGAGUACGCCGGCAACGGUGAAACUCAAAGGAAUUGACGGGGGCCCGCACAAGCGGAGGAACAUGUG
rnacentral:rRNA from 1 species